CCGUAAGGCCUUAGAGCAAGGGUAUGCUUACGAACCGUGUCAGGUCCGGAAGGAAGCAGCACUAAGUUUGAUGUAUCUUGUGCUCUAAGUUUUUUAAGAAAUU
rnacentral:SRP_RNA from 1 species